UAUGCCAAUUCUGACGCUUGAAACCCGUUCGGGGCAUUUGAAAAUGGUAGGGUAGCCUAUAACUUUGACCCGGUUUCGAAAUGAUUCCAACAGCUUAUCUGCUCAGUCUGAAAUUAUAGAUUCGGGCAACGAUCGAAUUGACACUAAACGAAAGUACCUGGUGAAACAUCGCUACCAUCGGGAAACGCCGUCGUUUACAAUCUCCGCGCUGCUGCAACUAACGCCACUGUUUUUGUCUCAUUCACCUUCUCUCUAGUAAAUAUCUCCUUAGCAUCAUCACUUCCUUUCUUCAAAACCCAAAAGGUCCUCUCUCUCCUUUCACUGUUACAGAAGCACAUACACUCGGAUAUUAAACCGUCGCCGAUCAAAAAUCUCUCUUCCCACUGGAAGCGUUAAAUUUCUCUUCCCACUGGAAACGUUUGCUGCCUCUUCAGCUCACUGACUUCAAGCAAACCGAGUCACCGAUCUACAAUCCGUGCCUUAGUUUCUUAUUAUUGCCAUCUGUGUUGACUUGUGGUUGAGCAGGAAAUAGUCGUUGCGUUGAAGUUAUCUAAUGUGAUCACUGAGUUUGGUAGAGGGGCAAAUCCGUGGAAAAUGGAUCGGUCGACGAUAACCGUGGGACCCGGUAUGGAUUUGCCGAUCUUGCACGACAGUGACCGGUACGAUUUCGUCCGGGAUAUUGGGUCAGGGAACUUCGGGGUCGCCCGGUUGAUGAGAGAUAAGGUCACCAAGGAGCUUGUUGCCGUAAAGUAUAUCGAGAGAGGUGACAAGAUUGAUGAAAAUGUUCAAAGAGAAAUUAUUAAUCACAGGUCGCUCAGGCAUCCCAACAUUGUGAAGUUUAAAGAGGUUAGCUUUUUCUUUCUUUAUUAUUUUUUGUGACCUCACAAGCUUAUCUCAUUUAAAGGGUGUUCUGUCUUAAUUUGAUGUGUAAGUUACUGUAAAGUUUUAUUCCAGGUCAUUUUAACUCCCACCCAUCUGGCCAUUGUGAUGGAAUAUGCCUCUGGAGGAGAGCUUUUUGAGAAAAUAUGCAAUGCUGGACGUUUCAGCGAGGAUGAGGUUUACAUUCCAGUAUACUAUUACUAACUGUACUUUCAUAUUAUAUUUUCACUUUUUGCAUGGUUUCUUGACUUUGGUUCCUAGUUCAGGCAAGGUUCUUUUUCCAACAACUCAUAUCAGGGGUUAGCUAUUGCCAUGCCAUGGUACUCAAACUUCAUUUACUUUCACCAAAUAAUGAUAUUGUUGCUGUUGUUGUGGUUUCUAGUGUAAACUAUAUUUUUACAUAAUUUAUUUGGCUUUGUGAAUAUUGUCCUUGAUGAAGCAAGUAUGUCACCGUGAUUUGAAGUUGGAGAACACUUUACUGGAUGGGAGCGAGGCUCCUCGCUUGAAGAUUUGUGAUUUUGGGUACUCCAAGUCUUCAGUGCUUCAUUCACAGCCAAAAUCAACAGUAGGAACUCCUGCGUACAUUGCACCAGAGGUGUUGUUGAGGCAAGAAUAUGAUGGCAAGGUACCACCAUUUCUUUUCCUUCAAAUUCAAUUGAGAAGAUAUGUGACCGCUUCAAUCAAUUUGCAUUCUUUUGAUAAUUUUUAAAGUUUAGCUUAUAUUUUUACUGUAUUGAUUGGCUGAACUGAUAUGUUUAAGGUUAUGUUAGUGGUUAUGUUUGCAAAAUAUUAUUUUUGUUGUUUUGUUUUAGAAUGAUUGAUUAUCAGUCAGGUUGGGUGGAAAAUUGGGAGUACAAUGAGGCAGAGGUCUGCCUCUUUCACAUGGUAUUUUAUUUAUUUAAAAAAUUCCUCUCUAUCAUUUUGUAUAUUGCUUUUGGUUUUGGUGUUGUGCAUUUGAGCUUUGUGGCCGAGAUGAUGUUAAACAUUUUUGUACCUACUAUUUAUCAAAUUGUAGUUUGAAGCUUUAAAUGCCCAUGAUCAAUACCAUGGAAGCAAUCAACUUGCUUCAGGUAUGAAUCGCAAGCUAUUUGAUUCUGGCAUGGCCACCUUCAUGGAAAGAAAUUGGCUUGCUUUCCUAUUUACAAUCUCUUCAUUUAGAUGUGGUCCUGGUCUCAUAUGUAACCUGUGACUAUGCCAAUUGUAGUCCACUGUCCAAGAUGGUCCUUCUUAGACAUUUGUAGGACUUGAAAUCAAUACUGACCUUUAGUAUUUUGGUAUGAAGUGUAUACUUUUGAGAUGGCUUGUGUGUCAAUAUCUCCUGUUUGGCUUCAUGAAGGAACCUUGCACCCACUUCACUUGUUACUAUACUCUUAUAGCCCUUAAGUGAAAUCUCAUGUUCCCCUCCAUGGAGGGGGAACUUUUUGUUAUGCUUUCCUUCAUAAAAGUAUUGCAAAUGGGAUUGGGCUGUGCCUUCACUGUCACUGUAGACUGUGUGCUGCCUGUUAACAAGCAAUAAUUGGUAGACUGUAUACUGACUGUUAACAAGCAAUAAUUGGUCUAAGUCGGAAGUUUGUAUUAACAAACUCAUGCAGGCAUACCCAAAUCAUGAUAAAUAUUUUCAGAAUUGGAUUAUUUAAUACAAAAAUAUGUUGCUAGUUUGAUGUUGUGCUGCAACAACAGAUUGCAGAUGUGUGGUCAUGUGGGGUGACGUUGUAUGUGAUGCUGGUUGGAGCAUAUCCCUUUGAGGAUCCUGAUGAGCCAAGGGACUUCAGGAAGACAAUACAGGUUUAUCACUGGAUCAUGUUGUUACUUGACACUUUCUUAUGCUAUAUUUCCUUUAUGCAAGACAAUGUUCUUGUUGCAUCCUUGCAGAGAAUUCUUAAUGUCCAGUAUUCCAUCCCAGACAUUGUUCAGAUGUCUCCUGCAUGUCGUGACCUGAUUUCUCGAAUUUUUGUUUUUGAUCCUGCAGCUGUGAGUAAUUCCUUUUCUUAGGAAUCUUAGUUUUGUUAGAUAGAUAAAUAACUUUGAUGUGUGUUUUAGAGAAAAACUUGAGAAGUGUGAUAGUAGAACUUCAUCUUUUACUGCUAAUUAGUAGCAACUGCACUGCAUAAAUUUUUUCUAUAUCUCUGUGCGUGGUGAUGAAUAGAAAUGAGGACUGUACUUUUGUAAAAUUAAAUGGAGUCAUUAUAUGUGAACCUCGGCUAAAAUUUUUAAUCCUUUAUAUAUUAUAGAUACUAAUAAACCAUUUGUUUGAGUUAGCUUUAUUAUAUUGGUCGGAAACUUGCCUCAGGAAGCAUGCUAAAAUUUGGUGCAAUGCUUACUAUUAUUAUAUAUUGGACAAUUUUAUUAUGUCAACUACCUCUGCUAGUGUGAUCUUUUUUGUUAAGGCGCCCUUUUUUGUAUAUCAUAGAGGAUUACCAUUCCACAAAUCAAGAACCAUGAGUGGUUUCUGAAGAAUCUGCCGAUGGACCUAAUGGAUGAGAAGACAAUAGGCAACCAGUUUGAGGAGCCUGAGCAACCCAUGCAGAGCAUUGAUACCAUAAUGCAAAUAAUUUCUGAGGCCACCAUACCAGCUGCUGGGGCCCAUGACCUUAAUCGGUAUAUGGCAGACAACCUUGACAUGGAUGAUGACAUGCUGGACUUUGAUUCUGAAUCUGAGCUUGAUGUGGAUAGUAGCGGGGAGAUAGUUUAUGCACUGUAAUCACGGCAUUUCUUUACAAGAGGUGGUGGUUCUUCAGGCUUGUGGACAUAUCAAGAUCUAGUCAAAAAAAUGCAACCUAGAAUGUGGUAGGUUAGCAUAGAAAAACAGCUUAUGAAAGUGCAAUAUAUGCUUUGGGUCUGUCAUGCUCACAAUAUGAAUGUUCUGUUCCUUUCUGUGUGGAGGGAUUUCAUCUUAUUGCUUGAAAAGGGCUGGUAAGCGGUAUGAAUUCUCGAACUUGGGAUAUGCUCCUGUUGCCAUCCCGAUGAACUGACUAUUUAUUAUUUUUUUCACUGGUCCUGUGCUUUUUGUUUUUUACUGUUCUGGUAUAAAUUAUGUAUGCUUUAUGUAACAGUUGCUUAUAAAUUUUAAUAUAUAUUUUGCAGCUAGUUUUUAUCCCUGGCUUAGUUUUGCACUAGUUAGAAGAGUCUCCUGUCUCUCUCAAUGUGCAAGUGCUUGUGAGCACUUGUGUCUCUUGAAAAUGCAUCUGGAUUUUGUGGACUGACCACAACCAAUAGAAGAACAGAGGAAAAGGGAGAAGAAAUAGAAUAAAUGGGAGGAGGAGAAGAAAGAGAAGGGAAGAAACAGAGGGAUCGAGAGAUGGUGUAUUUCUGUAUUAAGGAGAAGCCAAAGGAAGGAAUUGAAACGCAAAACAGAGAGAUAGAGAACUUAGGGAGAAGAUAGAAUUUCUGUAUUAUUUGAUUGAUAAGCCAACUACAAUUCAAUUCUCUAUUUAUGUUAGUACAUGAAUAACAAUCCUAACACUGUAUUUUGUUGAAGUAUCAUAGUCUCUGCUUUUGCUGUUACAGCUGCUGCAGCGAUGAUGCCUUGAUUGCUUAUGCGAUAUCUAACAAUUUUGAGUAAGCCAAGUAAACUAGCUUCAUUAUAAUUUUACCAAACAGUCAGCCCUCUUUGUUAAUUGUCCUAUUGCUCUCUUCCUUUUUAGGGCUACAAAACAACCUCCUAUUGUGAAAUAGUUCACACUAAUUCCAUUAUGAAAAACAUCAAAUAAAGACUAGAAUGAAUGGACCAUUACAAGGGAGUUAAGAACGAUGGCUGUCUAACAAUAUUUGAGAGAAGAGUUGGUCAAAAACCAACAUUGUAAAGCCAGUUUAAGUUGAUGUCUUCUUUGUCCACCUUAAUCUCCAAAUUCUCAAGUUGGUCAACAAAUGGCUCCCAUAAGUUGGCUAUUUCUUCAUCACAUAUCACUUCCUUGAGAUGCUCUAGUUCCAAGAUUGAAGGGGGUAGCUCAAUUUUGUUUGAGCAUCCGAUCAUGUGGAGCUUUCUUAGAUUUUGCAGAUCCCUAAUCUGUUCAGGCAAUUUUCUGAUUUCUGAACACUCGGAUAUAUCAAGAAUUUUUAACUUAUGGAGGCUUCCAAUCGUGCUCGGUAACUCUGCCAGUUCAAUGCAGCCGCUAAAUCUUACAAUCUCUAAAUUAACCAGGUUGCCUAUUUCUUUAGGUAGUGCAACCAACUUGUGACAAUUGGUGAUGCUCAGUUUCCCUAGCUGGACAAGUUGACACAGCCCAACAGGCAACUCGACUAGAUCGUUGGAGUAGUCGAUGUUUAUUUCCACCAAAUUUGGCAAUGCAUCUGAAACUUGGAUGGUAGAUGUACUGCUAAAAGCUUGGCCAAUAUUGCAUAGCACCAAGGUUAUCUUGUGCAGAUUCUUGAACUGUACAGAGGUGAAGCCAAAGGAAGGAAUUGAAAC
rnacentral:misc_RNA from 1 species